rnacentral:rRNA from 1 species
CCAAGGCGACGAUCAGUAGCCGGCCUGAGAGGGUGAACGGCCACAUUGGGACUGAGACACGGCCCAGACUCCUGCGGGAGGCAGCAGUGGGGAAUAUUGCACAAUGGGGGAAACCCUGAUGCAGCAACGCCGCGUGAAGGAUGAAGUAUUUCGGUAUGUAAAGGUCUAUCAGCAAGGAAGAAGAGAGACGGUACUUGACUAAGAAGCCCCGGCUAACUAC